CCGGCACACCGGCGACAAACGUUUCCCUAUUUCGUUUGGUCUCUUGAAGGAUCCCGUCCAAUCUCCUCUCGCCGCUUCACCGCUGUUUGGCUCCUAUAAAAUGCUUCCCUCCGAUCGAGUCCCCCAAUCCACGCCGGUCUUCCUCGCCCACCUCUCGGCUACGCCCACGCCCUCCAUCUCGGUCACCUCCCGGAGCUCCCGUCCCCGUGGCCGCGCCGUCCCCCGUCCUACCUCGCGGCGUCCCUCCAUCUCCCCUGUGCGCAACCAAACUGGUGCCGCACGCAGCUGUCGCACAUCCUUCCGGCCCGGCUGCUCCACCCCCCUCCAGCCAGCUACUCCAACCACGGCGCGGCGGCCGGAUCCAAUCUAUAUGGCGUGAUGGCGACCAAAUCCAUGACGGGAAAGAGACCCAGUGGUUCCCUCCGUCUCAAGCAGCCGUCGGCCACCUGCAGCAGCCCCAGGAUUGACGGCGUCUCCCAGGCUGCCGCACGGUCCUGCUCGGCGGCCUCGAGCUGCAGCUUUGGCACAUGGUACAGGACGUGUCGCUGCUAUUCCCAUGCGGAUCCACUGAGUUGACGAUGUUGAAUCAGCUGUGGCUUCCGGACCAAUCAUGGAGUUAUGGAGGAUGUCCCCUUCCAUAGUGUUACGCUACAAGGGAUUUCAUUUCUUGCUGAAAAAUUAUGUCAGUCCUUCCUGAUUUGCACGUGUUAAUGUAACUGCUGAACAUCAGUUCUCUCUCAUCAUUCAUUGUGCAGGUUUAAGGACAUACAUAUGACAAGGCAGUUCUCUAAUGAGUAACUAACUGAUCGCAUUUUCUUCUCAGUGCUAUUUUUUCCAUGUGUGAUUUUCAGUGAGUCCUACUAGGAUGGAAGACGCUGCAAUAAUGUGUGAGUAAUGGAUGUUGGUUGCCUUUCUGAGAAACGACAGAAGCUCUCAGGUAAAAAAUACACGCAAGAUGAUUAUUUUGAAGUACUGAUGCACCUUGCAAUACAUGUAUCUGUUUUGUAUUCAUCCACUACAGAUUAUAACUAUUUACUUGUUGUUCCCGUUUAUAUAUAGUAAUAUAGGAGUGUGUUUUCCCAGUCGGGUUUUCUGAAAACUGUAGCUUGUGGAACAUGAUAGGGUAUAUUUUUUCUGCAUUUGUGAAGGACCAAAAUGUCGAUUGACUAUAGGAAUUUAGAUUAUUUAUGUUUCUCUUCAAUACUACAUGUACUAUCUCUGCUGACUGACAUUUUCCUUUUGCCAUCAAUAGUAGCACUGAAAAUCAAUGAAAUUCAUCUGUUCACAUGUUCAGUUAGCUUGGCUUGAUUCCUGUUUGCAGAAUCUAACUUUCCCUUCCCGUCGAGGGUUUCCUCUGCUCUAUAAUUUUCUUCUAUUUCCUUGUCCAAAUUGUGUUUAAAUGAUAGGCGACAUUGCAAAUUAUGACCAGCUAGCUAUGGUUUACUACGGUAUGGCUUUGUUAUGGCUCAUUUUAUUGACCAGUGUAUGGUUGGUUGUUACCAUCUUAAACCCAUAUUUUGAGACCUUGGAGAAAAGGAGGGCAACAAAGAUUUAGUUUUGGGAUGUUGAUACCAUAUAGUGAGCAUGCUGCAUGUUAUCGUAAUGUGUAAUUGGAUGUUAAGCUAAUAACUUGAUAGAUGAAAUUUAGUCGAUCUUGCUGUAUAAAUUCUAGCAUGCUGCAGACUGAUAGCUGAAAUUUUAGUCUAUCUUGCACUAUAAAUUCUGGCAAAUGCAGUUGAUCUUGCCGUACAAUUUCUGGCAUAGUGCAGACCAGGCUGCAGGAGAAAAUGACUUGCCAUACUGACACCAUACAACACCAUGACGAUGGUCGAUGGACACCAUUAUGUAAAAAAACUCAACAGUGCUAUCUUGCAUUUGUACGAGCACCUGUGCAUUAGGUAAACAUCCUUUUUUAUUCUUACUUGCCUUGCUUGAUAUGAGCAACAGCAGAUCGUUGUCCCCAUGCCAAACCAUGUGCUGCUACAAGCCGUGGGCCUUUUAUGAGUGCCAACACAACAUCAUCUAAGAUGGAUCAAAAUGGAUGCUCCAAGGCUACAAGGACAAUUGCAAUCCCGCACGUACAUCUCCGAUGACAAUCUUGUCCCAACAUAAGCAUCGACUGAAGAGAAGGUAGCUCAGGCCACACUAUCCUAACUUUGUGAUCAUCACCACAUAUACCACAACCAUGAGGCGCUCAACACAAUAACCCGCAGCUGCUCCACAGCUCGAGACUUGGCAAGGACAUGGUUGGAAACUUCAAGUCUUAAGUUUGUUAAUGAGAGCAAUGCAAAAUUCUAAAGGGUCUGAUGUGUAAGCGAAACAGGUGUAUGUCUAUCCGUCCGCUGGAAACCAUAUUUAGGUGUUGUAGAAGCUCUAAAUAAUUAGCUUUCUUGCUUUCAAGGUGCCAUUUUAUUUCAGGAUUCACCGACGUAAUCAAGUAAUGUGGAGCAGUUGCUCAUUCAAAUUUUAUAUUUUCUUAAUCAUUACCCAUCCCUAUUAGUGAUGUAUACUACCUCUGUAGAUAAAUGUAAGACUAACGUCCUACUUUUCUUUACAGAGGGAGUACUUUUUUUGGAGUAUUAAUUUCUGUCAUUCUGAUGUAUUGUCAUUCUUGCCUCUUUCUUUGGUUACUGUUUUUUUCCGAUAAUCACUGUUUGAAUUAGAUUUUUUAAGUUAUAUCACGGACCUUUUCUUAUGUCCAAUUAGUUCUGAUUUGGCAAAAACCAAAUUGCCAAGUGUUGACAAUUGGCAUGCUGCAAUGUUGUUUACAGUGAUUGUGGAACAUUAACUCGAGGUAUCCUGCGUGGUUUGGACUUUGUGAUGCUAAUUAUCCCUCAUACCAGUUCAUAUGCCUUUAAAGUUGAAACCAUAAAAAAUGUAGUGCACAUUGAUUUUCUUCGUGAUACUUCACAUCCCUUUGUUUUGGUGGUAGUACAUUGUAGCCUGUAGAAGUAAUAACCUAGCCAAAGUUAGGUGAUGGUGUUAUCCAAUUUAUACAUCUUCACAAAUGCUGCUUAGCUAAAAUUUCCUUAUUGUUCAAGAAUAACAGGUGUUCCAGCAAUAUGACAACGAAUCCGAUUUGUACUAUCUGUGGGAGAUAUCCUGGUUAUUGAUACAAUGCAACUUUACUGUGAACAAAAAUGUUCCUUGAAAGUUGGUUGACACUUCCUGGAUAUUGAUACAAUGCAACUCUGGUGUAUGGAAAUUGCAUAUUAAUUAGGUCUUUUUACUAUACUGCCUAUAUACACCUAGUGACACUUCCUUGAAACUGAAGGAAAUAUUCUUUAUAUUGUAGCUCAUGUUGAUUUUUGUAUGUAACAAUACUUGGACUGUAUGGCCUUUCUUUGAUUUAUGUUUACGUUUCAAGGCCACAUAGCAGACUUUCUUGCUUAACAU